ACCAAUUUGUCAAAACAAUCCAUUUAAACUGGAGGGCAGAGGUAGACCUGAGUGAUACCAAGAAGACAGAUCAAUUUAAGCAACAAAGUGCGACAUGCCACUGAAGCAUUUCAAAACCCUCACAGGUACACACAGCUCCACAUUCCAAUCUUCCCAUCUCUUCCUGGAAGCUCCUACUCAAAACUGACAGAGAAUUUCAAGCCCACAAAGUCAAUGACGCCAUGCAGCAGAAAGGACUGAUACUGGACAGCCUCAGGAUGGUAAGUUGGUGGUUGGAGAUAUCCCUCUAGUGGUGUGGGGGCUGUGCUUUGGCAAAGUGGGUGGGGUUAUAUCUUGCCUGUUUGGCCUUGUCAGGAGGUAUCGUCGGACGGGGCUACAGUGUCUCCUGACCCCUCCUGUCUCAGCCUCCAGUAUUUAUGCUGCAAUAGUUUGUGUCAGGGGGCUAGGGUCAGUCUGUUAUAUCUGGAGUACUUCUCCUGUCUUAUCCGGUGUCCUGUGUGAAUUUAAGUAUGCUCUCUCCAAUUCUCUCUUUCUUUCUCUUUCUCUCUCUCGGAGGACCUGAGCCUUAGGACCAUGCCUCAGGAUUACUUGGCCUGAUGACUCCUUUCUGUCCCCAGUCCACCUGGUCGUGCUGCUGCUCCAGUUUCAACUGUUCUGCCUGCGGCUAUGGAAC